rnacentral:pre_miRNA from 14 species
UAUUAGGUCUGAAAGAUCCCUGAAGAGAGACCCUUACUCAAGUCUCAGGAAAUCAUGGACCCCAGACACAGAGAGACCA